ensembl:lncRNA
GCCCCCCUCAACCAAGACUAUGUGAGUCAGAGGAACCGGGAAAGGGAAUAUAAGCUGCCCAUAGCUCAACGGGCUUGAAGAGUAAUUUGUACCGGAUCCCUGGGACCUGCCUGGUGUCAGCCUCUGUGCAGCUCCACCUG